rnacentral:lncRNA from 1 species
CAGAGAGAGAAGAGAGAACAAAACAGAAGGGAGAUACAAUGGCCGGCAAGCACGCUCUCGAGUUUCAACUUUCCAUCUCUUUCCCUCUCUGUCCUCAUCGAAGGGCCCCCUUUGCCCUCGUUGCUCCAUUUCAUUUAUUUUUUUUAAGUUCUAAGGUUUAUUAGUUAUUAUUAUAAUGAUAUUAUCUCUAAUUAAAUAGCUAAUGAGGUUAAGCUAAGGAAUGGCUUUUGGGCUUUGAACACAAAUCGAGAUGCUUUGGGUCAAGUCUUUUUUAAGGUAUUCCUUGGGGCACUCAAAGCAUUGCUUAGAUUGGCUGUUUAUCUUUAGUUAUUUAGUGUUUUUUAUCCAUAGGCC